CUUUAACCACUUCUCUUGAAAGAGCAUAGUCCUUUCACAUUGAGGUAAGUUUUUUUCCUGUGUAAAUCUACUAGUUAGUAGUAUACGUUGUAUUACAUUUGGAAUCUUUUCUUUACUUUUAUGUUUACAUUUUUGUCAAUUCAUACGUGUUCUAGAUAUGGAUGAUCCUAUUUGGGACAUUGCUAUUCAUCACAACAUAGUACGAGAACUUCACAGGGAAGUUAAUGACCUGCAGUGGGAGUUGGG
rnacentral:lncRNA from 1 species